rnacentral:rRNA from 1 species
AGACCACCAGCUAAGGUCCCAAAAUAUAUGUUAAGUGGAAAAGGAUGUGGCGUUGCCCAGACAACUAGGAUGUUGGCUUAGAAGCAGCCAUCAUUUAAAGAGUGCGUAAUAGCUCACUAGUCGAGUGACACUGCGCCGAAAAUGUACCGGGGCUAAACAUAUUACCGAAGCUGUGGAUUGUCCUUUGGACAAUGGUAGGAGAGCGUUCUAAGGGCGUUGAAGCAUGAUCGUAAGGACAUGUGGAGCGCUUAGAAGUGAGAAUGCCGGUGUGAGUAGCGAAAGACGGGUGAGAAUCCCGUCCACCGAUUGACUAAGGUUUCCAGAGGAAGGCUCGUCCGCUCUGGGUUAGUCGGGUCCUAAGCUGAGGCCGACAGGCGUAGGCGAUGGAUAACAGGUUGAUAUUCCUGUACCACCUAUA